rnacentral:rRNA from 1 species
ACAGAGGUCCCAAGCGUUGUUCGGAUUCACUGGGCGUAAAGGGUGCGUAGGUGGUCGGGUAAGUCUGACGUGAAAUCUCCGAGCUCAACUCGGAAACUGCGUCGGAUACUAUUCGGCUCGAGGGUUGGAGAGGGGACUGGAAUUCUCGGUGUAGCAGUGAAAUGCGUAGAUAUCGAGAGGAACACCAGUGGCGAAGGCGAGUCCCUGGACAACUCCUGACACUGAGGCACGAAAGCUAGGGGAGCAAACAGGA